rnacentral:tRNA from 1 species
UCCCUGGUGGUCCAGUGGUUAAGACUCUGCCCUUCCACUGCAGCAGACUUGGGUUCCAUUCCUGGUUGGGGAA